GAUGAACGCUAGCGGCAGGCCUAACACAUGCAAGUCGAGGGGCAGCACAUAAAGUGGUUUACUACUUUUGGUGGCGACCGGCGGACGGGUGCGUAACGCGUAUGCAACCUGCCUCCAACAGGGGGAUAACGGAGAGAAAUUUCCACUAAUACCCCAUAAUAUCAGAAUCGGCAUCGGUUUUGGUUGAAACCUCCGGUGGUUGGAGAUGGGCAUGCGUUGUAUUAGAUAGUUGGUGAGGUAACGGCUCACCAAGUCAACGAUACAUAGGGGGACUGAGAGGUUAGCCCCCCACACUGGUACUGAGACACGGACCAGGCUCCUACGGGAGGCAGCAGUGAGGAAUAUUGGUCAAUGGGGGCAACCCCGAACCAGCCAUGCCGCGUGCAGGAAGACGGCUCUAUGAGUUGUAAACUGCUUUUACAAGGGGAUAAAUCGGUGUACGUGUACACCGUUGAAGGUACCUUGGGAAUAAGGAUCGGCUAUCUCCGUGCCAGCAGCCGCAGUAA
rnacentral:rRNA from 1 species